AUACUCUGGCAACAGAGCGUGGGAUGCCGGAAAGUUGGUCAAACUUGAUCAUUUAGAGGAAGUAAAAGUCGUAACAAAGUUUCCGUAAGUGAACCUGCGGAAGGAUCAUUACC
rnacentral:rRNA from 1 species